rnacentral:rRNA from 1 species
AAUCAACGCUGGCGGCGUGCCUCAGACAUGCAAGUCGAACGAUUAAAGCUCUCUUCGGAGAGUGUAUAGAGUGGCGCACGGGUGAGUAACACGUAAGUAAUCUACCUUUGAGUGGGGAAUAACCCGGGGAACCCGAGCUAAUACCGCAUAAUGCAGCGGCAUCGCAAGAUGACAGUUGUUAAAGGAGCAAUCCGCUUAAAGAGGAGCUUGCGGCAGAUUAGCUAGUUGGUAAGGUAAUGGCUUACCAAGGCUACGAUCUGUAUCCGGUCUAAGAGGACGGUCGGACACACUGACACUGAAUAACGGGUCAGACUCCUACGGGAGGCAGCAGUCGGGAAUUUUGGGCAAUGGGCGAAAGCCUGACCAGCAACGCCGCGUGAAGGAUGAAGUAUUUCGGUAUGUAAACUUCG